rnacentral:rRNA from 1 species
CGGCGGACGGGUGAGUAACACGUGGAUAACCUACCUAUAAGACUGGGAUAACUUCGGGAAACCGGAGCUAAUACCGGAUAAUAUAUUGAACCGCAUGGUUCAAUGUGAAAGACGGUUUUGCUGUCACUUAUAGAUGGAUCCGCGCCGCAUUAGCUAGUUGGUAAGGUAACGGCUUACCAAGGCAACGAUGCGUAGCCGACCUGAGAGGGUGAUCGGCCACACUGGAACUGAGACACGGUCCAGACUCCUACGGGAGGCAGCAGC